rnacentral:rRNA from 1 species
ACGGAGGAUCCGGGCGUUAUCCGGAAUUACUGGGUUUAAAGGGUGCGUAGGCGGGGCUUUAAGCCGGCGGUGAAAUGCAGCGGCUCAACCGCUGGAAUGCCGUUGGGACUGGGGCUCUUGGAUACGGUCGGGGGGGGUGGAAAUCGUGGUGUAGCGGUGAAAUGCGUAGAGAUCGGGAGGAACACCGGUGGCGAAGGCAGCUCACCGGACCGGUAUUGACGCUGAGGCGCGAAAGCGUGGGGAUCGAACAG